GUUCAGGCUGUCAUAUCUGGUACCUUACUGAUCAUCAGGAUUGAUUUGGUUGAUCUAGGUGGCUAAAUGGAUGUGCCUUUCC
rnacentral:snRNA from 1 species